rnacentral:rRNA from 1 species
UACGUAGGGUGCAAGCGUUUGUCCGGAAUUACUGGGCGUAAAGCGCAUGUAGGCGGUUCGUAAAGUCAGAUGUGAAAGCCCUGGGCUUAACCCAGGAAGUGCAUUUGAAACUCACGAACUUGAGUCCCGGAGAGGAAGGCGGAAUUCUCGGUGUAGAGGUGAAAUUCGUAGAUAUCGAGAGGAACAUCGGUGGCGAAGGCGGCCUUCUGGACGGUGACUGACGA